rnacentral:tmRNA from 1 species
GGGGGUGACCGGCUUUGACGGUCUGUNNUGCCAAGAACACUCUUGCAAGCGCGAAGCAGUCGCCUUACUUCGGUAAGGUCGGCGAUAUCGCGUUCGCCUACGCGACGGCUCGCGGCUAACGCCGCCAUCCUCGCCUAGCGCGACGUUCAUCCUCCCGGGUUUUCGCAGCCGGAGGCAUGGGCGGAAUUAUCUGCGGAAUCGGUCCUUCGUUCUCCCGAACUGAGGAUCUAAACAAGGGAUCGGGCAGGAAUGGUUUCGCCGGCGUUCCUCGCAUCCUGCCUUAGACACGAACGUUGGCUAUGCGUCGUAGAAGCGCUUUCAUAGACGGAUUCGGACCGGGGUCCAAUUCCCCGCACCUCCACAA